GGGCUCACACAAGCGGUGGAGGAUGUGGCUUAAUUCGAGGCUACGCGAAGAACCUUAUCCUAGGCUUGACAUGCAUGGAUACCCUCCCUGAAAGGGGAGUAAGUUGCUAGCAAUAGUGAAACUUGCACAGGUGCUGCAUGGCUGUCGUCAGCUCGUGUCGUGAGACGUCGGGUUAAGUCCCUUAACGAGCGAAACCCCUAUCGUUAGUUGCCAUCAUUUAGUUGGGCACUUUAGCGAGACUGCCUAAGUUAAUGCGGAGGAAGGCGGGGACGACGUCAAGUCCUCAUGGCCCUUAUGCCUAGGGCUGCACACGUCCUACAAUGGAUUCCACAAAGGGAAGCGACACUGUGAAGUCGAGCAAAUCCCCAAAAAGGAUCCUCAGUUCGGAUUGUAGUCUGCAACUCGACUACAUGAAGCCGGAAUCGCUAGUAAUCGCGGGUCAGCAUACCGCGGUGAAUGUGUUCCUGAGCCUU
rnacentral:rRNA from 1 species